rnacentral:rRNA from 1 species
UUAGUGGCGCACGGGUGCGUAACGCGUGGGAAUCUGCCCCUUGGUUCGGAAUAACAGUUGGAAACGACUGCUAAUACCGGAUGACGACGUAAGUCCAAAGAUUUAUCGCCGAGGGAUGAGCCCGCGUAGGAUUAGGUAGUUGGUGUGGUAAAGGCGCACCAAGCCGACGAUCCUUAGCUGGUCUGAGAGGAUGAUCAGCCACACUGGGACUGAGACACGGCCCAGACUCCUACGGGAGGCAGCAGUGGGGAAUAUUGGACAAUGGGCGAAAGCCUGAUCCAGCAAUGCCGCGUGAGUGAUGAAGGCCUUAGGGUUGUAAAGCUCUUUUACCCGGGAUGAUAAUGACAGUACCGGGAGAAUAAGCUCCGGCUAACUCCGUGCCAGCAGCCGCGGUAAUACGGAGGGAGCUAGCGUUAUUCGGAAUUACUGGGCGUAAAGUGCACGUAGGCGGCUUUGUAAGUAAGAGGUGAAAGCCCAGAGCUCAACUCUGGAAUUGCCUUUUAGACUGCAUCGCUUGAAUCAUGGAGAGGUCAGUGGAAUUCCGAGUGUAGAGGUGAAAUUCGUAGAUAUACGGAAGA